UAUCUGUGGUUGGCUGACGCAUUACUGAGGUGGAUACAAAGCCUCACAGCGGAGGACCUCAGCCUGUUGAUUAGGGAGAUGUGAAUUCAGUUCCCAAGUUAGCAUUUGGACUUAGACCUGCAUUGCAUGAGGUGAUUGAUGUACGUGGAGCGGUAGCCUGGAACGUAAAACCUUAACGUUUCUUCAGCUGUUUGCUUCUAAUGGCUGUUCAGGAUUCUGAGGGGGUAAAUGCUCUGAAUAGAAUCCACUGGUUUCAGGGGGAGAUUGGCAGGCAACAUGACUGUAGGAACACAGAGGAAAUCGAGUUGAAGAAAAAAAAGUGAACCAAUCUAAUUCCUUCAGUGUUGUUCUACAGAGAUAGCCAGCUGAGCUUGCAGGGUAAGUUUGAUUCCUGACACUUCCCACCAUCUCAUCAGGUCCUGGCCACUGUGGUUAAAAGUUUCACAACUUCCUACUAGGUUCUAAACCUCUGGGCUUUGAGGUUCUUCAGCGUGUACAGAAUGCCUUUCCAGCUGUAGGACUUAGGAAUGAUCAGGUUGCGCUUGUUGCAUCCCCUGAGUUCGUUGUUCAACAGAUUUUGGAUAUCUGGGUAGGUUGUACAUAGAAAACAAU
rnacentral:lncRNA from 1 species